UGUUGAUUCAAUACCAGCUGUUUACAGUUCUGACCUGUAGUUUCAUGAGACUAGUUUUGUUGUAGAUCUACAGCGUGUAUAGAGCUGAUCUACGUGCACUUUGCUAUUUGAGAAAUUUGUUUAGCAGACCCUCUGUCAGCACCAGGUAUUGUGAAAUGGACGUAUCCAAGAGAACACCGCGGAAUAGUGACAGUGACCCUCCCCGCCUUCAGGAGCGUGGCGUUCAAGGUCUAAGAAAUUUAUUGUCGAAGAACGCGUUAGCCCAGUCACACGUACCGCUGAAUCCAAAUGCAGCGCCAUUUGUUCCUCGCGUACUGAGAGCACCGGACCUACCUACGAAACAAGCGUCAGAUGGUGAUGUUGGAGCAUCAACUGGGUCACAGCCAUCAAGUCUAACUUCUACCAUAUCCUCGAGACAACUCCAGUCUGCGGGGAAUGCUCGUUGUCGUCUCCCGCCAAAAGGACCCGGAAGAUGCCGAGCACAGCCUCCAAACAUGGCUGGUGCUGGGAAUGGUGGAGCAUCAACAGGGCCGCCUACUACCGCAUAUGGACGAAUGACGUUGACUCCCACCGACCAACCUGGAUCUAAGCAGAAGAUGAGGGAUAGUGAUAGUGAUUCGUUGCAGAGUGCCUCAUUUCCAUCGAGUGAGUCGCCGUCCCUUCAGGCCAGAAAGAAGCCUGAAUCCAAUCGGUUUGCAGGGCUUCGGAGUGCGCUACUCGGCCUUGUAACUGAAAUACACGCCAAGAACGAAACCUUGAAAGAGAGGCAACUCCAGUCUGCGGGGAAUGCUCGUUGUCGUCUCCCGCCAAAAGGACGCGGAAGAGGCCGAGCACAGCCUCCAAACAUGGCUGGUGCUGGAAAUGGUGGAGCAUCAACAGGGCCGCCUACUACCGCAUAUGUACGAAUGACGUUGACUCCCACCGACCAACCUGGAUCUAAGCAGAAGAUGAGGGAUAGUGAUAGUGACUCGUUGCAG